ACACACACACACACACACACACAGACACACACACACACACACACACACACACACACACAGAAUAGAAUACACACACACACACACACACACACAGACACACACACACACACACACACACAGACACACACACACACACACACACACACACACACACACACACACACACAGACACACACACAGACACACACACACACACACACACACACACACACAGACGUGUUUCCUGUAAGUAAACUUUCAGGAGUUCAUUGGAAAUACAUUUUAUCAGAAGUUUGCGAGCAAUCAAAGCAGAGGAGGCGACACACAGAAUGAACUGAUCAGAAACCAUUGAUCUGAUAUUGGUUGUCAGUCAGUCUGCAGCGAUAUGAAUCUGUUACCAGAUCACAGACGAGACACUGAUUACUGUCCUCUGACUGUUAGCUGGUUAGCCCGCAGCUGACUUAUCUUAUGAGUGUGUAUGAGCUGGUGACUGUGGGAACUCCGAGCUCAGAGCAGGAAACAGAAAUACAUAGCCCCGAUCCACCAAACUCCAUUCAGAAAACAAGCAUUUUAAAAGCUGUUAGCUCGUCUUCAGACAGACCGACAGAGUCUGAGUUCAGACUGUUUACUGAUCAACAUCAUGAUUCAGUUUCAGGUGCACAGUGGCCAUUACACAGCGUACUGCUUUACCUCGUUACUGUGAGAUUAUAAAUAUGUGACAGAACCAUUCAGCAGCUCUGCACACUCAUAAAGAACCUACGGACACUUUGACACGAAGACAGGAGGAGGUGGGAAUCGAACCUCCCAGCGUGUGAUCAGUGGCCGACCCGCUCUAACAGCGGAGCAGACGAUCAAUCAGACAGAUAAGUGCAGUUGUGAGCCUGGGUUUGUGUUGUUGUUGUUGUUGUUGUUGUGUUCAGUGUUGCUGACAGCAGCUUCACUUCCUUUAAUUCUCUUAAACUGAUCAGAGAGCAGCUCGCGGCGUCCUGAUGAACGCCGGCGGGAAGCGGUACGUGAUGCUAAUGAGGAGCAGCAGAGAGGACGAGCCCGAGUGAAAAUAACACGCGUGAUGUGACAGCGCCGCGUCCGUUUGAUCAGCCGCUCUCUGGGGAGACACGCAGACACGCUGCUCGGCCUGCUGGGAAUCGUAGUACGACACGGCGGCGACCAGAGCGCUAAUUAUUAUCAUCACAGCAGCACAUCAGAGACAGACAGCGAGAGAGAGACACAAAGAGAGACAGACAGGAGGGUUUAUCACACAGACCACGUACAGGUCAACAAUCACACACUUAAUAAUAAUUUAUUGAUUCUUGUUUGUUACAAACUAUAAACUAUAUUAUAUAUAUAUGUUUAUGUGGCUCCUCUCUGCGGCUCUUUAUUACAUAUUUUACACAUUAUUAUGUAUGAAAAUAAUCCACAAUAAAUGCACCACUGACAUUUUUACUAUAUAUAAUAUUUAUAUUAUUGAUAUUAUUGAUUAACCAGCAGGAAGUUCAAUGUGAGCAGUUAAGUAGAGAAACAACUUUCACAUUAACUGUCUGAUCUGAUCCUAUGGAAGAUUUUAAGAUUUGAACUUAAAGUUGAAAUUGUUAAACAGAGAAAAGAGUUUAUUAUUAAUUAUUACAUAGUGAGGUGAUGUCAUAACUGCCACAGAGCUACAGAGCUAUCUGCAUCAAUCAUUAACUAAUGAGCUAGCAUUACACUAACAUUAGCUAUCAGAUGUUACUAACAAUUCAUGUACAUUCAUUAGCUAAUGAAAGUAUUUCAGUGUAGGAUUUAGUGGCAUCUAGCGAUUGAAGCUCCCUCUCCUCACCCUCCACUUCCAACCACAAAGGAGGAACUAACUGACUGAAGGUGGUCUGACUGAAGGUGGACUAACUGAAGGUGGUCUAACUGAAGGUGGACUGACUGAAGGUGGUCUAACUGAAGGUGGUCUAACUGAAGGUGGUCUAACUGAAGGUGGACUGACUGAAGGUGGUCUAACUGAAGGUGGACUGACUGAAGGUGGUCUAACUGAAGGUGGACUAACUGAAGGUGGUCUGACUGAAGGUGGUCUAACUGAAGGUGGACUGACUGAAGGUGGUCUAACUGAAGGUGGACUGACUGAAGGUGGACUGACUGAAGGUGGUCUAACUGAAGGUAGACUGACUGAAGGUGGUCUAACUGAAGGUGGACUAACUGAAGGUGGUCUAACUGAAGGUGGACUGACUGAAGGUAGACUGACUGAAGGUGGUCUAACUGAAGGUGGACUGACUGAAGGUGGUCUAACUGAAGGUGGACUAACUGAAGGUGGUCUAACUGAAGGUGG